AUGCAUGAGUUAACUAAGGAAAACAUUGAGCGUAUGAAUGCUAAAUAUAAACUUGCUGGAGAUAAGGGUAGAAAACAUGUUGUGUUUGCACCUGGAGAUCUUGUUUGGUUACAUUUGCGUAAGGAUAGAUUUCCUGAUUUGCGCAAAUCAAAGCUAAUGCCACGUGCUGAUGGUCCCUUUAAGGUGUUAGAGAAAAUAAAUGAUAAUGCAUAUAAACUUGAGCUGCCUGCAGAUUUUGGGGUUAGUCCCAAUUUUAACAUUGCAGAUUUGAAGCCUUAUGUGGGUGAGGAAGAUGAUUUCCGUCGAGGACGCCUUCAUUUCAAGAAGGGGAGGAUGAUGAGGACAUCAAUACCAUUGUUACACCCACAGGCCCUGCUGCUAUACAUACUGGACCAAUUACUAGAGCUCGCGCACGCCAACUAA
rnacentral:rRNA from 1 species